AGAGUUUGAUCCUGGCUCAGGACUAACGCUGGCGGCGUGCCUAACACAUGCAAGUCGAACGGGCCGUAGCAAUACGGUUAGUGGCAGACGGGUGAGUAACGCGUAGAUAACGUACCCCUCCGCUGGGGAUAGCCACUGGAAACGGUGGGUAAUACCGAAUACAUUAUCGCUGGGGCAUCCCAGUGGUAAGAAAGGGUUACCGUGGAGGGAGCGGUUUGCGUCCUAUCAGCUAGUUGGUGAGGUAACGGCUCACCAAGGCGACGACGGGUAGCCGGUCUGAGAGGAUGAUCGGCCACACUGGCACUGAGAUACGGGCCAGACUCUUACGGGAGGCAGCAGUGAGGGAUUUUGCGCAAUGGGGGAAACCCUGACGCAGCGACGCCGCGUGCGGGACGAAGCCUUUCGGGGUGUAAACCGCUGUCAGUGGGGAAGAGUAAGGACGGUACCCACUGAGGAAGCCUCGGCUAACUACGUGCCAGCAGCCGCGGUAAGACGUAGGGGGCGAGCGUUGUCCGGAAUCACUGGGCGUAGAGAGCUCGUAGGCGGGGUUGCGCGUCGCGGAGUAAAUCCAUCUGCUCAACGGAUGGUUCAUCUGCGAUACGGCAGCUCUUGAGGACAGGAGAGGAAAGUGGAAUUCCCGGUGUAGCGGUGAAAUGCGUAGAGAUCGGGAGGAACACCAGUGGCGAAGGCGACUUUCUGGCCUGAUUCUGACGCUGAGGAGCGAAAGCCAGGGGAGCGAACGGGAUUAGAUACCCCGGUAGUCCUGGUGCUGUAAACGAUGGAUACUAGGUGUAGGAGGUUUCAACUCCUUCUGUGCCGCAGCUAACGCAAUAAGUAUCCCGCCUGGGAAGUACGGCCGCAAGGUUGAAACUCAAAGGAAUUGACGGGGGCCCGCACAAGUGGUGGAGCAUGUGGUUUAAUUCGACGCUACGCGAAGAACCUUACCCGGGUUUGAAAUUCACGGGAAUAUGGCAGAGAUGUCAUAGCUCCGCAAGGGGCUCGUGGACAGGUGCUGCAUGGUUGUCGUCAGCUCGUGCCGUGAGGUGUUGGGUUAAGUCCCGCAACGAGCGCAACCCCUAUUCUUAGUUGCCAUCGGGUAAAGCCGGGCACUCUGGGGAGACUGCCGUCAUAAGGCGGAGGAAGGUGGGGAUGACGUCAAAUCAGCAUGGCCCUUACAUCCGGGGCUACACACGUGCUACAAUGGCCGGUACAACGGGCUGCUAAGCCGCGAGGUGGAGCGAAUCCCUUGAAAGCCGGUCUCAGUUCGGAUUGCAGGCUGCAAUUCGCCUGCAUGAAGUCGGAAUCACUAGUAACCGCAGAUCAGCUACGCUGCGGUGAAUGCGUUCCCGGGCCUUGUACACACCGCCCGUCACACUAUGAAAGUUCGGUGUACCCGAAGUCGCUGGUCCAACCGCAAGGGGGAAGGCGCCGAAGGUGUGCCGGAUAAUUAGAGUGAAGUCGGAACAAGGUA
rnacentral:rRNA from 1 species